rnacentral:rRNA from 1 species
GAUGAACGCUGGCGGCGUGCCUAAUACAUGCAAGUCGAGCGAACAGACGAGGAGCUUGCUCCUCUGACGUUAGCGGUGGACGGGUGAGUAACACGUGGAUAACCUACCUAUAAGACUGGGAUAACUUCGGGAAACCGGUGCUCAUACCGGAUAACAUGUUGAACCGCAUGGUUAAACAGUGAAAGACCGUCUUGCUGUCACUUAUAGAUGGAUCCGCGUCGCAUUAGCUAGUUGGUAAGGUAACGGCUUACCAAGGCAACGAUGCGUAGCCGACCUGAGAGGGUGAUCGGCCACACUGGAACUGAGACACGGUCCAGACUCCUACGGGAGGCAGCAGUAGGGAAUCUUCCGCAAUGGGCGAAAGCCUGACGGAGCAACACCGCGUGAGUGAAGAAGGUCUUCGGAUCGUAAAACUCUGUUAUUGGGGAAGAACAAAUGUGUAAGUAACUAUGCACGUCUUGACGGUACCUAAUCAGAAAGCCACGGCUAACUACGUG